rnacentral:rRNA from 3 species
GUUCUCCCUGAGACUUUAAGUCUCCUGAAGGAACGUUGAAGACGACGACGUUGAUAGGCCGGGUGUGUAAGCGCAGCGAUGCGUUGAGCUAACCGGUACUAAUGAACCGUGAGGCUUAACCUUACAACGCCGAAG